rnacentral:rRNA from 1 species
UACGUAGGGUGCGAGCGUUAAUCGGAAUUACUGGGCGUAAAGCGUGCGCAGGCGGUUAUGCAAGACAGAUGUGAAAUCCCCGGGCUUAACCUGGGAACUGCAUUUGUGACUGCAUAGCUAGAGUACGGUAGAGGGGGAUGGAAUUCCGCGUGUAGCAGUGAAAUGCGUAGAUAUGCGGAGGAACACCGAUGGCGAAGGCAGUCCCCUGGACCUGUACUGACGCUCAUGCACGAAAGCGUGGGGAGCAAACAGG